UAAUUCGAUGCAACGCGAAGAACCUUACCUGGUCUUGACAUCCACAGAACUUUCAAGAGAUGGAUUGGUGCCUUCGGGAACUGUGAGACAGGUGCUGCAUGGCUGUCGUCAGCUCGUGUUGUGAAAUGUUGGGUUAAGUCCCGCAACGAGCGCAACCCUUAUCCUUUGUUGCCAGCGGUCCGGCCGGGAACUCAAAGGAGACUGCCAGUGAUAAACUGGAGGAAGGUGGGGAUGACGUCAAGUCAUCAUGGCCCUUACGACCAGGGCUACACACGUGCUACAAUGGCAUAUACAAAGAGAAGC
rnacentral:rRNA from 1 species